rnacentral:rRNA from 1 species
UACGUAGGGGGCAAGCGUUGUCCGGAUUCAUUGGGCGUAAAGAGCGUGUAGGCGGCCAGGUAGGUCGGUUGUGAAAACUGGAGGCUCAACCUUCAGAGGUCGACCGAAACCAUCUGGCUAGAGUCCGGGAGAGGAGAGUGGAAUUCCUGGUGUAGCGGUGAAAUGCGCAGAUAUCAGGAGGAACAACAGAGGCGAAGGCGACUUACUGGACCGUAACUGACGCUGAGAUGCGACAGUGUGGGGAGCAAACAGG